CAAAGAACCUCCCAAGAGAGAACACGAGAUCGUUUUACAAGAAUUAGAUUUACACCAAGAAAAAUCAGAUCAUUGGCUUUACAAAUAGCCUCACAAUAUUAGCCCUAAUCGACCCUGACCUAGACUCUAAUGUAGUAUCAAUUUACAGUCUAAAAAUUUGACCAAACAGACCAAAGAACCCACUGCCCAAAAACAUAAAACUCCGGCCAGCCACCAGUAAAAUAACCACCAGAUCACUGGCUCAGAACACUGGCCUUACUAUUGAAAAUAUGGCCGAAAAGUAUAUAUAAUCAGAUCUGAAAUUUCGUCCACCAAAGAGAAGAAAAACGCCAUAGAGAGAGAAG
rnacentral:lncRNA from 1 species